UGUCGGUUUUAUAAUGAAAAGUAGAGGGCCUUGUGACUUCGCCAACGACUUCUCCAUUAGGUAGGUUUUUGUUAGCCCAAGCCUUUAUUUGUUGAGGGGAAACGAGUCCAAUUUGAAGUUGUUGAUGUUUAUAUUGGUCAAUCAUAAAAUA